rnacentral:rRNA from 1 species
UACGUAGGGUGCGAGCGUUAAUCGGAAUUACUGGGCGUAAAGCGUGCGCAGGCGGUGAUGUAAGACCGAUGUGAAAUCCCCGGGCUUAACCUGGGAACUGCAUUGGUGACUGCAUUGCUCGAGUAUGGCAGAGGGGGGUAGAAUUCCACGUGUAGCAGUGAAAUGCGUAGAGAUGUGGAGGAAUACCGAUGGCGAAGGCAGCCCCCUGGGCCAAUACUGACGCUCAUGCACGAAAGCGUGGGGAGCAAACAGG